AACGAACGCUGGCGGCAUGCCUAACACAUGCAAGUCGAACGAACCCUUCGGGGUUAGUGGCGCACGGGUGCGUAACGCGUGGGAAUCUGCCCUUGGCUUCGGAAUAACAGUUAGAAAUGACUGCUAAUACCGGAUGAUGUCUUCGGACCAAAGAUUUAUCGGCCAGGGAUGAGCCCGCGUAGGAUUAGGUAGUUGGUGGGGUAAAGGCCUACCAAGCCGACGAUCCUUAGCUGGUCUGAGAGGAUGAUCAGCCACACUGGGACUGAGACACGGCCCAGACUCCUACGGGAGGCAGCAGUGGGGAAUAUUGGACAAUGGGCGCAAGCCUGAUCCAGCAAUGCCGCGUGAGUGAUGAAGGCCUUAGGGUCGUAAAGCUCUUCUACCCGGGAUGAUAAUGACAGUACCGGGAGAAUAAGCCCCGGCUAACUCCGUGCCAGCCGCCGCGGUAAUAC
rnacentral:rRNA from 1 species